CAACAUUGUAAAUGAAGGCAGUAUUGGCGCUUAUGCUACACAUGAAAUUUAUAACAACAUAUUGAUAUUAGUGAAUGUUUAUUUUUGUUACUUUUCAUAAACCCUCCAUUUCAGGGUCUGCAUGCAAAAUUUCUGUUAUUUUAGAGUCAAGCUAUUGUACUAAGGGAUUUAUUUUAGCAAUUUAGUCAUUUGUUAGGUUAUAAGGCUGCAGAAACUUUUAGUUGAGGUUGGUAUCCACUAUCCAGUUGCAGCUAUAAUUGUGUCAUAUUUUGUAUCAUUUUCUGAACAUGUAAACACCUACCUAUAUGAAUCCAAAUAUUGUGAUUGUAGAAAAGCAGUUACCCUCACAUUGCAGCGGGGAUUAGAACAAUUAACCACAUUUGUUAUACAAAAAGCCUGUUUGCCAUCAAUUUUGGGAUUCCAAAUUGGGUAUCUCUCAUCUCAUCUCAUACUGUAUUAAGGACAUCCGCAAUAUACUUGCGGCUAUUACUGCCUUUCGUCACGUGAUAAAACAAAUGAACGUCAAUCGGCAAUGGGAGAGUAGGCACAAAAUGACAACGAUCAAACAUACAACUGUCACACGCACGCACACACAUACACACAAAAACAGGUAUUGGUAAGGUAGAUGUAGCACAAGCUGCCCGAUGCACGAGAAUGGGUCUUUCUAACCAAACCUUACCUAACCUGACCUACAACCUACAGCCUUAAACCUAAAAUUUACAACCCACGACCUAGUCCUACGGUAUGGCAUAUCACAAUUCACAACACAACAGCUUGUGCUAUGUCUGCUACCAUGACCCAACUUUGUGCCAAUUCAUACCAACUUGGGAUGACAGUCACUGCAGAUGUGUGCUGACCAUGCAGGUCUUUGUUACAAUUGCAAUUCUAUUGUGUUACAGGUUCGGCAUUUUACAGCUGCAACCCGCCAUGGCUGGGCCACCACGGCGGCAUCACCUUCAGGGUGGACCUGCCCGUGGCCACCCGCCGGUCGGACCCGCCUGCAGUCCGCAGGGAAGCUGCCCUGCGAGCCACUGCAGAGCUCCCGCACCCGGACGUCACUAUCUGGUCGGACGGCUCGGCUCGCGGCGGACGGAACAGGGCGGCGCAGGCGCUGAUCCAGUUCCACCACCUCAACAGAGAAGAGACCGUGCGCGCUCCUGCAGGGGCGGUCUGCUCCAGCCUAAGAGCAGAACUGACCGCCAUGCGCGAGGCGUUCGCGGCUGUGGCCGGCCUGGAGGACGGGGAGUUGGCAUCGACCAAGUCGGUCCGCCUCCUCACCGACUCAAGGCCUGGGCUCCAACUACUCGGCCGCGGCCCAGCUAACCAGACCAUGGCCCUGGCCGCCGAGGUGUGGAGGCUGCUGAGUGCUGAGCACCCUCGCCGAGAACGGCACCGAGACGGUGCUCCAGUGGGUGCCAGGCCAUGCCGGGCUGGACGGCAACGAAACCGCCGACCGCCUGGCUGGCGAGGCCACGGCGGGCGACCAAGACAGCGCACCGAUCGACCUUUCGAGUGCGCGGGCCGCCGUCACGCGCCAUGUCCGGGAGCUGUCGCGACAGAGGGCAACCGCUGCCCACCCGCACCCGGACCCCACGCCUGGCCACGACUCCCUGGCGCGCUGGGGUCGGUGACGCUGUCCCAGCUGAGGACCGGCACAUCACCGCUGACCCGUGACACGCUCCACAAGAUUGGCCCGGAAGCCGACGACGAAUGCCCCGCGUGCGGGGAGCCCGACAGCGCGGCGCACCUACUGACCGAUUGUCCGGCCUAUGAGGCGGCCCGCCGCCGCCGAUGGGGUGUCGACCCUCGCCUGGUCGACGUCCCCGGCGGCCCGGCGACGAAGGUCGUCACCUUCAUCGAGGAUGUUGGGCGGACCGAGCCGCCGCUCGACCCGCCUGCGCCGCCGCCCCCCCUGAGCGGGUUGGCGGUGGGAUGCAGAAGAAGAAGAAGAAGCAACUGCCAGCGCGCCACGGCGGCGAAGCCAAGUUCCGCCGCUGGACCGCCCGCGCAAUGGCCAGCACAGAGAAGAGACAACCGAAUCACAACACCUACAAUUACGUUAUUGUUAUGGUAUUGACAUUGUUACAAUUAACCCUGCUCUUUCGAGCGUGGAUGCACGCUGAAAUUGUCGCAUAAUUCCAUGCAGCUUCCACCCUUCUGCAAUACAAAGUUUGAAUACAAAGUAGUCUUGCAAUAGGUUUAGAACUUAUGUGCAGAUUGUCGAUGCUGGUUGACUUGAUGAUUGGAAUUGUGUUUAUCUGUUUCAUCUGUUUUGACUUAAAUAUAUGGCCAUGGACUAUGGCCUACUUUGGGAA